rnacentral:tRNA from 1 species
GCGGUUAUGGCGGAAUUGGCAGACGCGCAGGAUUUAGGUUCCUGUACUUUACGUGUGUGGGUUCAAGUCCCACUAACCGCA